UGGGGAAUAUUGCACAAUGGGCGAAAGCCUGAUGCAGCAACGCCGCGUGAGCGAAGAAGGCCUUCGGGUCGUAAAGCUCUGUCCUCAAGGAAGAUAAUGACGGUACUUGAGGAGGAAGCCCUGGCUAACUACGUGCCAGCAGCCGCGGUAAUACGUAGGGGGCAAGCGUUAUCCGGAUUUACUGGGCGUAAAGGGUGCGUAGGCGGUCUUACAAGUCAGGAGUGAAAGGCUACGGCUCAACCGUAGUAAGCUCUUGAAACUGUUAGACUUGAGUGCAGGAGAGGAGAGUGGAAUUCCUAGUGUAGCGGUGAAAUGCGUAGAUAUUAGGAGGAACACCAGUUGCGAAGGCGGCUCUCUGGACUGUAACUGACGCUGAGGCACGAAAGCGUGGGGAGCAAACA
rnacentral:rRNA from 1 species